rnacentral:piRNA from 1 species
UGAAGCACCUGCUCUGAAUACUGAGG